CCUACGGGGUGCAGCAGUGGGGAAUAUUGGGCAAUGGGCGCAAGCCUGACCCAGCAACGCCGCGUGAAGGAAGAAGGCUUUCGGGUUGUAAACUUCUUUUCUCAGGGACGAAGCAAGUGACGGUACCUGAGGAAUAAGCCACGGCUAACUACGUGCCAGCAGCCGCGGUAAUACGUAGGUGGCAAGCGUUAUCCGGAUUUACUGGGUGUAAAGGGCGUGUAGGCGGGACUGCAAUGCAGAUGUGAAAACCAUGGGCUCAACCUAUGGCCUGCAUUUGAUACUGUAGUUCUUGAGUACUGGAGAGGCAGACGGAAUUCCUAGUGUAGCGGUGAAAUGCGUAGAGAUUAGGAGGAACACCAGUGGCGAAGGCGGUCUGCUGGACAGCAACUGACGCUGAGGCGCGAAAGCGUGGGGAGCAAACAGGAUUAGAUACCCGGGUAGUC
rnacentral:rRNA from 1 species